AGAUCUCGGAAAUCCAACUAUAUCAUUUACUAUCACUGAACAAUUACACUAAUCAUACAGAAUUUAUGCAGGAAAUCUAGAGAUGCUGAAAAAUAUAACAGGUUGUACCCAUCAAUACAGUUUUCGUGGUUGUUUAGAAGUCUGGCGUAGCUCCGACCGCGGCUUUGCAACUUCCACGAAUAUUACUCUGCCAUCCAGGAACUUGCCAUGCAUCCCUUCAAUAGCCUUUCUAGA
rnacentral:misc_RNA from 1 species